UCUCGGCUUAUCACCGGCAGUCCCUCUAGAGUGCCCAACUAAAUGAUGGCAACUAAAGGCGAGGGUUGCGCUCGUCGCGGGACUUAACCCAACAUCUCACGACACGAGCUGACGACAGCCAUGCAGCACCUGUGUUCCCGCCAGCCGAACUGAAGAACUCCAUCUCUGGAGUCCAUACGGGACAUGUCAAAGGUUGGUAAGGUUCUGCGCGUUGCUUCGAAUUGAACCACAUGCUCCACCGCUUGUGCGGGCCCCCGUCAAUUCCUUUGAGUUUCAGCCUUGCGGCCGUACUCCCCAGGCGGGGCACUUACUGCGUUAGCGACGGCACCGGGAGGGUCGCUCCCCCCGACGCCUAGUGCCCAUCGUUUACGGCGUGGACUA
rnacentral:misc_RNA from 1 species